rnacentral:lncRNA from 1 species
AAACCCCACGAAAAUUAAACAAAUCUCAACUAUCAUUACCUAUAGAAGAAAAACUUGACUACCCAAAAAAUUAUACAGAGUCAAAAUUAUCACAAACAACAAAAAAGUUCCGUUUUUUUCUUUGUUAGAGUAAAAGUCAAACCCUUAUUCAAAAUCUCAACACCCAUAUAACAAAAAUAAUACAUAAUCCCCAUGCAAACUAUUAUUGUUCUCACUUUCUUCGCCUUCUCUCUCAUCGCUCUCUUGACUGACGCUAACAUCCUUAGCACCACCUCCUUCUGACGAGUCUCCGGUUUCAACAGGUAAGUAUCUCUCUCUCUCUUUCUCUUCUCCUAUCUUGUUCCUUUCAGGUAAAUCUAAGAAGCAUUCUCUCUGUUGUUUGAUCUUCUACUUUAGUUGUAUUUGUGUCUGUUUUUCGAGCUUAUUGCCCAGUUUGUUUUGCUGGGAACUGUUCCCGUAAAUUCUUUU